UACGUAGGGUGCGAGCGUUAAUCGGAAUUACUGGGCGUAAAGCGUGCGCAGGCGGUUCUCCAAGUCCGUUGUGAAAGCCCCGAGCUCAACUUGGGAAUUGCAGUGGAUACUGGCGAGCUAGAGUGCGGUAGAGGAAGGUGGAAUUCCCGGUGUAGCGGUGAAAUGCGUAGAGAUCGGGAGGAACACCAGUGGCGAAGGCGGCCUUCUGGACCAGCACUGACACUCAAGCACGAAAGCGUGGGGAGCAAACAGG
rnacentral:rRNA from 1 species